ACGGGUGAGUAACGCGUGGAUAACCUGCCGUAUACAGGGGGAUAACACUUAGAAAUAGGUGCUAAUACCGCAUAAGCGCACGGUUCCGCAUGGAACAGUGUGAAAAACUCCGGUGGUAUACGAUGGAUCCGCGUCUGAUUAGCCAGUUGGCGGGGUAACGGCCCACCAAAGCGACGAUCAGUAGCCGGCCUGAGAGGGUGAACGGCCACAUUGGGACUGAGACACGGCCCAAACUCCUACGGGAGGCAGCAGUGGGGAAUAUUGCACAAUGGGGGAAACCCUGAUGCAGCGACGCCGCGUGAGUGAAGAAGUAUUUCGGUACGUAAAGCUCUAUCAGCAGGGAAGAAAAAAAGUCCUUUGGACUUUGGACGGUACCUGACCAAGAAGCCCCGGCUAACUACGUGCCAGCAGCCGCGGUAAUACGUAGGGGGCAAGCGUUAUCCGGAUUUACUGGGUGUAAAGGGAGCGUAGACGGCAGCGCAAGUCUGGAGUGAAAUGCCGGGGCCCAACCCCGGAACUGCUUUGGAAACUGUGCAGCUGGAGUGCAGGAGAGGUAAGCGGAAUUCCUAGCGUAGCGGUGAAAUGCGUAGAUAUUAGGAGGAACACCAGUGGCGAAGGCGGCUUACUGGACUGUAACUGACGUUGAGGCUCGAAAGCGUGGGGAGCAAACAGGAUUAGAUACCCUGGUAGUCCACGCCGUAAACGAUGAUUACUAGGUGUCGGGGGGCCAAGGCCCUUCGGUGCCGCCGCAAACG
rnacentral:rRNA from 1 species